rnacentral:rRNA from 1 species
UACAGAGGGUGCAAGCGUUAAUCGGAAUUACUGGGCGUAAAGCGCACGCAGGCGGCUUUGCAAGACAGAUGUGAAAUCCCCGGGCUCAACCUGGGAACUGCAUUUGUGACUGCAAGGCUAGAGUACGGCAGAGGGGGAUGGAAUUCCGCGUGUAGCAGUGAAAUGCGUAGAUAUGCGGAGGAACACCAAUGGCGAAGGCAAUCCCCUGGGCCUGUACUGACGCUCAUGCACGAAAGCGUGGGGAGCAAACAGG